GCUGGCGGCGUGCCUAACACAUGCAAGUUGAGCGCGAAAGGGGGGGUAACUCCCCGAGUAGAGCGGCGAACGGGUGAGUAACGCGUGGGUGAUCUACCUUCGAGUGGGGAAUAACAUCGGGAAACUGGUGCUAAUACCGCAUGACAUCCCGGGAUCAAAGCCGGGAUCAAAGCCGGGGACCGCAAGGCCUGGCGCUUGAAGAGGAGCCCGCGUCCGAUUAGCUAGUUGGCGGGGUAACGGCCCACCAAGGCUACGAUCGGUAGCCGGCCUGAGAGGGCGGACGGCCACACUGGGACUGAGACACGGCCCAGACUCCUACGGGAGGCAGCAGUGGGGAAUUUUUCGCAAUGGGGGAAACCCUGACGAAGCAACGCCGCGUGGAGGAUGAAGGCCUUCGGGUCGUAAACUCCUGUCGACCGGGACGAAAGUGGUCCGACCUAAUACGUCGGGCCAUCGACUGUACCGGUGGAGGAAGCCACGGC
rnacentral:rRNA from 1 species